GCAGUCGAACGAUGAUGCCCAGCUUGCUGGGUGGAUUAGUGGCGAACGGGUGAGUAACACGUGAGUAACCUGCCCUUGACUUCGGGAUAACUCCGGGAAACCGGGGCUAAUACCGGAUAUGAGCUACCUUCGCAUGGGGGUGGUUGGAAAGUUUUUCGGUCAAGGAUGGGCUCGCGGCCUAUCAGCUUGUUGGUGGGGUGAUGGCCUACCAAGGCGACGACGGGUAGCCGGCCUGAGAGGGCGACCGGCCACACUGGGACUGAGACACGGCCCAGACUCCUACGGGAGGCAGCAGUGGGGAAUAUUGCACAAUGGGCGAAAGCCUGAUGCAGCGACGCCGCGUGAGGGAUGAAGGCCUUCGGGUUGUAAACCUCUUUCAGCAGGGAAGAAGCGCAAGUGACGGUACCUGCAGAAGAAGCGCCGGCUAACUACGUGCCAGCAGCCGCGGUAAUACGUAGGGCGCAAGCGUUGUCCGGAAUUAUUGGGCGUAAAGAGCUCGUAGGCGGUUUGUCGCGUCUGGUGUGAAAACUCGAGGCUCAACCUCGAGCUUGCAUCGGGUACGGGCAGACUAGAGUGCGGUAGGGGAGACUGGAAUUCCUGGUGUAGCGGUGGAAUGCGCAGAUAUCAGGAGGAACACCGAUGGCGAAGGCAGGUCUCUGGGCCGCAACUGACGCUGAGGAGCGAAAGCAUGGGGAGCGAACAGGAUUAGAUACCCUGGUAGUCCAUGCCGUAAACGUUGGGCACUAGGUGUGGGGCUCAUUCCACGAGUUCCGUGCCGCAGCAAACGCAUUAAGUGCCCCGCCUGGGGAGUACGGCCGCAAGGCUAAAACUCAAAGGAAUUGACGGCGGCCCGCACAAGCGGCGGAGCAUGCGGAUUAAUUCGAUGCAACGCGAAGAACCUUACCAAGGCUUGACAUGCACGGGAAGCCACCAGAGAUGGUGGUCUCUUUGGACACUCGUGCACAGGUGGUGCAUGGUUGUCGUCAGCUCGUGUCGUGAGAUGUUGGGUUAAGUCCCGCAACGAGCGCAACCCUCGUCCCAUGUUGCCAGCGGGUUAUGCCG
rnacentral:rRNA from 1 species